UGUCCUGGUUGAGCUAGGAUAGGGUUAAGUUUCCCCAGCAGUGGGUAGGGGGCUCUAGCCAGGUUAUUCAAUACCAUGCUGACAUUGGGUCCAGGCGCCAAGGAAAGAGGAGGG